rnacentral:miRNA from 1 species
CCUGGACCUCACUAUAUAGACCAGGCUGGCUUCAAACUCACAGAGGUCUGGUUGCCUCUGCCUCCUGAGUACUGGUAU